GACGAACGCUGGCGGCGUGCUUAACACAUGCAAGUCGAACGGAAAGGCCCUUCGGGGUACUCGAGUGGCGAACGGGUGAGUAACACGUGGGUGAUCUGCCCUGCACUUUGGGAUAAGCCUGGGAAACUGGGUCUAAUACCGAAUAGGACCACGCGCUUCAUGGUGUGUGGUGGAAAGCUUUUGCGGUGUGGGAUGGGCCCGCGGCCUAUCAGCUUGUUGGUGGGGUAAUGGCCUACCAAGGCGACGACGGGUAGCCGGCCUGAGGGGGUGACCGGCCACACUGGGACUGAGAUACGGCCCAGACUCCUACGGGAGGCAGCAGUGGGGAAUAUUGCACAAUGGGCGCAAGCCUGAUGCAGCGACGCCGCGUGAGGGAUGACGGCCUUCGGGUUGUAAACCUCUUUCACCAGGGACGAAGCGUAAGUGACGGUACCUGGAGAAGAAGCACCGGCCAACUACGUG
rnacentral:rRNA from 1 species